rnacentral:rRNA from 1 species
AGAGUUUGAUCAUGGCUCAGGAUGAACGCUAGCGGCAGGCUUAACACAUGCAAGUCGAGGGGUAUAGGUUUUCGGACCUAGAGACCGGCGCACGGGUGCGUAACGCGUAUGCAAUCUACCUUUUACAGAGGGAUAGCCCAGAGAAAUUUGGAUUAAUACCUCAUAGUAUUAUUGAAUGGCAUCAUUUAAUAAUUAAAGUCACAACGGUAAAAGAUGAGCAUGCGUCCCAUUAGCUAGUUGGUAAGGUAACGGCUUACCAAGGCAACGAUGGGUAGGGGUCCUGAGAGGGAGAUCCCCCACACUGGUACUGAGACACGGACCAGACUCCUACGGGAGACAGCAGUGAGGAAUAUUGGUCAAUGGGCGCAAGCCUGAACCAGCCAUGCCGCGUGCAGGAUGACGGUCCUAUGGAUUGUAAACUGCUUUUGUACAGGAAGAAACAGUUCUACGUGUAGAACCUUGACGGUACUGUAAGAAUAAGGAUCGGCUAACUCCGUGCCAGCAGCCGCGGUAAUACGGAGGAUCCAAGCGUUAUCCGGAAUCAUUGGGUUUAAAGGGUCCGUAGGCGGUUUUGUAAGUCAGUGGUGAAAGCCCAUCGCUCAACGGUGGAACGGCCAUUGAUACUGCAAGACUUGAAUUAUUAGGAAGUAACUAGAAUAUGUAGUGUAGCGGUGAAAUGCUUAGAUAUUACAUGGAAUACCAAUUGCGAAGGCAGGUUACUACUAAUGUAUUGACGCUGAUGGACGAAAGCGUGGGGAGCGAACAGGAUUAGAUACCCUGGUAGUCCACGCCGUAAACGAUGGAUACUAGCUGUUCGGAGCAAUCUGAGUGGCUAAGCGAAAGAAUCGAAUUCCCGC